UUUACCCAUACGACUUUUGUAAACAGGCUUAGCGUGAACCAUCUUCAGUUUCGACUUUAUGUAACAGAUGCACAGACGGGAGUAGAUCAGUUUUGAUGAAAAAGUGCUUCCUUUGUUCUUGAGCAUAUAGAAGUUAAAGACUUUUUGGUGUACAUCUGUCUGGACCACCAUGAAUCCAUGAGCGACCUGUUUUAGGCAUAGACGUCACCUGAGUUCUUAAGAAAAACAAGAGGCCGGUAAAACAAUAAAGGUAAGUAAAAUUAACGAAUAAUAUUCCACUUGAAAACACAAGUUAAAUGAUGACCUGUGUCGUACACAACGUAGAUGAUUACACGCGUUAGUAAAUCAGUCCGAUUUUUGAAAAGUCAUUGUAUCUGACUUAUUUCAUCAAAGUAAUUUAUCAUUGUGGCUUUAACUUUAACUGGAUAUAGUUUGUCAUCAUCAAAUGACAUGACACAAGUAUCAAGGCUGGUCGUUGUUUGACAUUUGUUCUUUUUACGUACUUGUACACAGAAAUUAUGAGAUAUUACAUCGUCAUUUUACAGGAAAUUUAUUUAAGACAAAUAACAUGCACUAAAAUAAAUUGUAGACUUCGUUUGCAUGAUAUCAAAUUCCUUACAUUCAUUCUGUUUAUUCCACAUUCGUGAUAGACAUAAGAUAAAAUCAAAUGAAACAUAUUUCAAUACUGGAAUCAGAAUUAUUACAAAAUAAUUUUCACUCUUUAGAACAAAUAAGUAAUACAUGUCAGUACAUAGUUGUGUGAAAUAGUAAUGGGCAAGUCAUGGCUUGGUUUUUUAUUGAAAAGAGGCUAAUCUGUCAGCAACACCUAUUGUUUGAUUUAGUUCCUAAUACAAUAAACUACUUCUUGUUGUAGUAUAUUUUAACCACCUUACUUCAGCAAUAAAGUUUUUCAUAUGUGUGAUGCAA